GGGUUGUGAGGUUAAGCGACUAAGCGUACACGGUGGAUGCCCUGGCAGUCAGAGGCGAUGAAGGGCGUGCUAAUCUGCGAUAAGCGCCGGUAAGGUGAUAUGAACCGUUAUAACCGGCGAUACCCGAAUGGGGAAACCCAGUGUGACUCGUCACACUAUCAUUAACUGAAUCCAUAGGUUAAUGAGGCGAACCGGGGGAACUGAAACAUCUAAGUACCCCGAGGAAAAGAAAUCAACCGAGAUUCCCCCAGUAGCGGCGAGCGAACGGGGAGGAGCCCAGAGCCUGAAUCAGCAUGUGUGUUAGUGGAAGCGUCUGGAAAGGCGCGCGAUACAGGGUGACAGCCCCGUACACAAAAGCGCAUGUGCUGUGAGCUCGAUGAGUAGGGCGGGACACGUGGUAUCCUGUCUGAAUAUGGGGGGACCAUCCUCCAAGGCUAAAUACUCCUGACUGACCGAUAGUGAACCAGUACCGUGAGGGAAAGGCGAAAAGAACCCCGGCGAGGGGAGUGAAAAAGAACCUGAAACCGUGUACGUACAAGCAGUGGGAGCCCCACCACUAAGCCAGUGGUGAACUCCACAUCCGCAUCCUUUGCUGAGGAUACGGUUAACGGAGCGAAAGCGACGUUCAACCGCAAAACAAGCAGAGGGGGCUUAGUGGUGGGGUGACUGCGUACCUUUUGUAUAAUGGGUCAGCGACUUAUAUUCUGUAGCAAGGUUAACCGAAUAGGGGAGCCGGAGGGAAACCGAGUCUUAAUUGGGCGUUAAGUUGCAGGGUAUAGACCCGAAACCCGGUGAUCUAGCCAUGGGCAGGUUGAAGGUUGGGUAACACUAACUGGAGGACCGAACCGACUAAUGUUGAAAAAUUAGCGGAUGACCUGUGGCUGGGGGUGAAAGGCCAAUCAAACCGGGAGAUAGCUGGUUCUCCCCGAAAGCUAUUUAGGUAGCGCCUCGUGAAUUCAUCUCCGGGGGUAGAGCACUGUUUCGGCUAGGGGGCCAUCCCGGCUUACCAACCCGAUGCAAACUGCGAAUACCGGAGAAUGUUAUCACGGGAGACACACGGCGGGUGCUAACGUCCGUCGUGAAGAGGGAAACAACCCAGACCGCCAGCUAAGGUCCCAAAGUCAUGGUUAAGUGGGAAACGAUGUGGGAAGGCCCAGACAGCCAGGAUGUUGGCUUAGAAGCAGCCAUCAUUUAAAGAAAGCGUAAUAGCUCACUGGUCGAGUCGGCCUGCGCGGAAGAUGUAACGGGGCUAAACCAUGCACCGAAGCUGCGGCAGCGACGCUGAUGCGUUGUUGGGUAGGGGAGCGUUCUGUAAGCCUGUGAAGGUGUGUCGUGAGGCAUGCUGGAGGUAUCAGAAGUGCGAAUGCUGACAUAAGUAACGAUAAAGCGGGUGAAAAGCCCGCUCGCCGGAAGACCAAGGGUUCCUGUCCAACGUUAAUCGGGGCAGGGUGAGUCGACCCCUAAGGCGAGGCCGAAAGGCGUAGUCGAUGGGAAACGGGUUAAUAUUCCCGUACUUGGUGUUACUGCGAAGGGGGGACGGAGAAGGCUAUGUUGGCCGGGCGACGGUUGUCCCGGUUUAAGCGUGUAGGUGUGUGUUCCAGGUAAAUCCGGUUCACUUUAACACUGAGGCGUGACGACGAGGCACUACGGUGCUGAAGCAACAAAUGCCCUGCUUCCAGGAAAAGCCUCUAAGCAUCAGGUAACACGAAAUCGUACCCCAAACCGACACAGGUGGUCAGGUAGAGAAUACCAAGGCGCUUGAGAGAACUCGGGUGAAGGAACUAGGCAAAAUGGUGCCGUAACUUCGGGAGAAGGCACGCUGACACGUAGGUGAAGUGAUUUACUCAUGGAGCUGAAGUCAGUCGAAGAUACCAGCUGGCUGCAACUGUUUAUUAAAAACACAGCACUGUGCAAACACGAAAGUGGACGUAUACGGUGUGACGCCUGCCCGGUGCCGGAAGGUUAAUUGAUGGGGUCAGCGCAAGCGAAGCUCCUGAUCGAAGCCCCGGUAAACGGCGGCCGUAACUAUAACGGUCCUAAGGUAGCGAAAUUCCUUGUCGGGUAAGUUCCGACCUGCACGAAUGGCGUAAUGAUGGCCAGGCUGUCUCCACCCGAGACUCAGUGAAAUUGAACUCGCUGUGAAGAUGCAGUGUACCCGCGGCAAGACGGAAAGACCCCGUGAACCUUUACUAUAGCUUGACACUGAACAUUGAGCCUUGAUGUGUAGGAUAGGUGGGAGGCUUUGAAGUGUGGACGCCAGUCUGCAUGGAGCCGACCUUGAAAUACCACCCUUUAAUGUUUGAUGUUCUAACGUGGACCCGUAAUCCGGGUUGCGGACAGUGUCUGGUGGGUAGUUUGACUGGGGCGGUCUCCUCCUAAAGAGUAACGGAGGAGCACGAAGGUUGGCUAAUCCUGGUCGGACAUCAGGAGGUUAGUGCAAUGGCAUAAGCCAGCUUGACUGCGAGCGUGACGGCGCGAGCAGGUGCGAAAGCAGGUCAUAGUGAUCCGGUGGUUCUGAAUGGAAGGGCCAUCGCUCAACGGAUAAAAGGUACUCCGGGGAUAACAGGCUGAUACCGCCCAAGAGUUCAUAUCGACGGCGGUGUUUGGCACCUCGAUGUCGGCUCAUCACAUCCUGGGGCUGAAGUAGGUCCCAAGGGUAUGGCUGUUCGCCAUUUAAAGUGGUACGCGAGCUGGGUUUAGAACGUCGUGAGACAGUUCGGUCCCUAUCUGCCGUGGGCGCUGGAGAACUGAGGGGGGCUGCUCCUAGUACGAGAGGACCGGAGUGGACGCAUCACUGGUGUUCGGGUUGUCAUGCCAAUGGCACUGCCCGGUAGCUAAAUGCGGAAGAGAUAAGUGCUGAAAGCAUCUAAGCACGAAACUUGCCCCGAGAUGAGUUCUCCCUGAGACUUUAGGUCUCCUGAAGGAACGUUGAAGACGACGACGUUGAUAGGCCGGGUGUGUAAGCGCAGCGAUGCGUUGAGCUAACCGGUACUAAUGAACCGUGAGGCUUAACCUUACAACGCCGAAG
rnacentral:rRNA from 2 species